UCAUCAGGUUUGUAGAAAUGUACCACUGCAUCAGUGUCUCAGCAAUGGAUGCUCUGCGGUGAAUGGGUGCCGUCAGAAUGAGAGUCCAAACAGCUGAUAAAAACAUCACAAUAAUCCACAAGUAAUCCACAGCACUCCAGUCCAUCAGUGAACAUCUGGAGAAGACAAAAGCUGAAACAAAUCCAGCAUUAAGGUGUUUUUAACUCAAAUACAUAGAGUCCAUAAUCCAUAAUAACACUUCCUGCAGUGAAAAAGUGCAUCUCCUGUUGUCUCUCACAUCAAAAUCCAGACACAUAUUUGUUUAGAGCUGUUUAAACGCUGCUUGAUCUGUGCAGAUUCUCUCCUGAUUCACACCAGAACACUUUU
ensembl:lncRNA